rnacentral:rRNA from 1 species
CGGGUGAGUAAUGUCUGGGAAACUGCCUGAUGGAGGGGGAUAACUACUGGAAACGGUAGCUAAUACCGCAUAACGUCGCAAGACCAAAGAGGGGGACCUUCGGGCCUCUUGCCAUCGGAUGUGCCCAGAUGGGAUUAGCUAGUAGGUGGGGUAAUGGCUCACCUAGGCGACGAUCCCUAGCUGGUCUGAGAGGAUGACCAGCCAUACUGGAACUGAGACACGGUCCAG